rnacentral:rRNA from 1 species
AGCGAACGCUGGCGGCAGGCUUAACACAUGCCAGUCGAACGCAUCACUUCGGUGGUGCGUGGCAGACGGGUGAGUAACACGUGGGAACGUACCCUUCGAUCUGGGCUAACUUCGGGAAACUGGAGCUAAUACCGGAUACGCCCUUUUGGGGAAAGGUUUACUGUCGAAGGAUCGGCCCGCGUCUGAUUAGCUAGUGGGUGGGGUAACGGCCUACCAAGGCGACGAUCAGUAGCUGGUCUGAGAGGAUGAUCAGCCACACUGGGACUGAGACACGGCCCAGACUCCUACGGGAGGCAGCAGUGGGGAAUAUUGGACAAUGGGCGCAAGCCUGAUCCAGCCAUGCCGCGUGAGUGAUGAAGGCCUUAGGGUUGUAAAGCUCUUUUGUCCGGGACGAUAAUGACGGUACCGGAAGAAUAAGCCCCGGCUAACUUCGUG